UACGUAGGGGGGCGAGCGUUGUCCGGAAUUACUGGGCGUAAAGCGCACGUAGGUGGUACGUCAAGGUUCGGCGUGAAAUCUCCAGGCUCAACUUGGAGGGGUCGUCGAAGACUGGCGAACUAGGGUCUGGCAGAGGCAGGUAGAAUUCCCGGUGGAGCGGUGAAAUGCGUAGAUAUCGGAAGGAACGCCGGUGGCGAAAGCGACGUGCUGGACCUCUUCUGACGCUGGAGGCGCGAAAGCCAGGGGAGCAAACGGG
rnacentral:rRNA from 1 species